UGCAAGUUGAGCCGCUGAAGGUUGGUACUUGUACCGACUGGAUGAGCAGCCGAACGGGUGAGUAACGCGUGGGGAAUCUGCCUUUGAGCGGGGGACAACAUUUGGAAACGAAUGCUAAUACCGCAUAAAAACUUUAAACACAAGUUUUAAGUUUGAAAGAUGCAAUUGCAUCACUCAAAGAUGAUCCCGCGUUGUAUUAGCUAGUUGGUGAGGUAAAGGCUCACCAAGGCGAUGAUACAUAGCCGACCUGAGAGGGUGAUCGGCCACU
rnacentral:rRNA from 1 species